UACGUAGGUGGCAAGCGUUGUCCGGAUUUACUGGGCGUAAAGAGCGCGCAGGCGGUCAGUUAAGUCGAAUGUGAAAGCCCCCGGCUCAACUGGGGAGGGUCAUUCGAUACUGUUCGACUCGAAGGCAGGAGAGGGAAGUGGAAUUCCCGGUGUAGUGGUGAAAUGCGUAGAUAUCGGGAGGAACACCAGUGGCGAAGGCGACUUCCUGGCCUGUUCUUGACGCUGAGGCGCGAAGGCCAGGGGAGCAAACGGG
rnacentral:rRNA from 1 species